rnacentral:rRNA from 1 species
AGUGAACGCUGGCGGUAUGCCUAACACAUGCAAGUCGAACGGCAGCACAGUAAGAGCUUGCUCUUACGGGUGGCGAGUGGCGGACGGGUGAGGAAUACAUCGGCAUCUACUUUUUCGUGGGGGAUAACGUAGGGAAACUUACGCUAAUACCGCAUACGACCUACGGGUGAAAGCAGUGGAUCUUCGGACCUUGCGCGAUUGAAUGAGCCGAUGUCGGAUUAGCUAGUUGGCGGGGUAAAGGCCCACCAAGGCGACGAUCCGUAGCUGGUCUGAGAGGAUGAUCAGCCACACUGGAACUGAGACACGGUCCAGACUCCUACGGGAGGCAGCAGUGGGGAAUAUUGGACAAUGGGCGAAAGCCUGAUCCAGCCAUACCGCGUGAGUGAAGAAGGCCUUCGGGUUGUAAAGCCCUUUUGUUGGGAAAGAAAAGCAGCAGGUUAAUACCCCGCUGUUCUGACGGUACCCAAAGAAUAAGCACCGGCUAACUUCGUG